rnacentral:rRNA from 1 species
CCGGUUGAUCCUGCCGGAGGUCACUGCUAUUGGGAUUCGACUAAGCCAUGCGAGUCGAGAGGGUUCGGCCCUCGGCGAACUGCUCAGUAACACGUGGAUAAUUUGCCCUUAGGUGGAGGAUAACCUCGGGAAACUGAGAAUAAUACUCCAUAGAUCUAGGAUGCUGGAAUGCACUUAGAUUAAAAGCUCCGGCGCCUAAGGAUAAGUCUGCGGACUAUCAGGUUGUAGUCAGGGUAAAGACCUGACUAGCCUACAACGGAUACGGGUUGUGAGAGCAAUAACCCGGAGACGAUAUCUGAGACACGAUAUCGGGCCCUACGGGGCGCAGCAGGCGCGAAACCUUCGCACUGUGCGAAAGCGCGAUGAGGGGAUCCCAAGUGCUUGCUCGUAAGAGUAAGCUGUUUUUAUGUCUAAAAAGCAUAGAGAGUAAGGGCUGGGUAAGACGGGUGCCAGCCGCCGCGGUAAUACCUGCAGCUCAAGUGGUGAUCAUUAUUAUUGGGCCUAAAACGUCCGUAGCCGGUUUGGUAAAUGCCUGGGUAAAUCGUGUAGCUUAACUAUACGAAUUCCGGGUAGACUGCCAAACUUGAGACCGGGAGAGGCUAGAGGUACUCCU